rnacentral:rRNA from 1 species
UGGGGAAUAUUGGACAAUGGGGGGAACCCUGAUCCAGCCAUGCCGCGUGUGUGAAGAGGGCCUUAUGGUUGUAAAGCACUUUAAGCGAGGAGGAGGCUCUCUUGGUUAAUACCCAAGAAGAGUGGACGUUACUCGCAGAAUAAGCACCGGCUAACUCUGUGCCAGCAGCCGCGGUAAUACAGAGGGUGCGAGCGUUAAUCGGAUUUACUGGGCGUAAAGCGUGCGUAGGCGGCUUUUUAAGUCGGAUGUGAAAUCCCCGAGCUUAACUUGGGAAUUGCAUUCGAUACUGAGAAGCUAGAGUAUGGGAGAGGAUGGUAGAAUUCCAGGUGUAGCGGUGAAAUGCGUAGAGAUCUGGAGGAAUACCGAUGGCGAAGGCAGCCAUCUGGCCUAAUACUGACGCUGAUGUACGAAAGCAUGGGGAGCAAACAGG